AGAGUUUGAUCCUGGCUCAGGAUGAACGCUAGCGACAGGCUUAACACAUGCAAGUCGAGGGGCAGCAUAAAAGUAGCAAUACUUGGUGGCGACCGGCGCACGGGUGAGUAACGCGUAUGCAACCUACCUAUCAGAGGGGAAUAACCCGGCGAAAGUCGGACUAAUACCGCAUAAAACAGGGGCACCGCAUGGUGAUAUUUGUUAAAGAGAUUCGCUGAUAGAUGGGCAUGCGUUCCAUUAGGUAGUUGGUGAGGUAACGGCUCGCCAAGCCGACGAUGGAUAGGGGAACUGAGAGGUUGGUCCCCCACACUGGUACUGAGACACGGACCAGACUCCUACGGGAGGCAGCAGUGAGGAAUAUUGGUCAAUGGGCGGGAGCCUGAACCAGCCAAGUUCCGCGUGAAGGAAGAAGGAUCUAUGGUUCGUAAACUUCUUUUGCAGGGGAAUAAAGUGCAGGACGUGUCCUGUUUUGUAUGUACCCUGAGAAUAAGGAUCGGCUAACUCCGUGCCAGCCGCCGC
rnacentral:rRNA from 1 species